ACAGAGGCCCCAAGCGUUAGGCGGAAUCACUGGGCUUAAAGCGUGUGUAGGCGGAUCGUUAAGGGUCUUGUGAAAUCCCACGGCUCACCCGUGGAACUGCUGGGCAUACUGGCGAUCUUGGGCCAACUAGGGGCAGCCGGAACAAGCGGUGGAGCGGUGAAAUGCGUAGAGAUGUGGAGGAAUACCGAUGGCGAAGGCAGCCCCCUGGGCCAAUACUGACGCUCAUGCACGAAAGCGUGGGGAGCAAACAGG
rnacentral:rRNA from 1 species